rnacentral:rRNA from 1 species
CCUACGGGCGGCAGCAGUGAGGAAUAUUGGUCAAUGGGCGAGAGCCUGAACCAGCCAAGUCGCGUGAAGGAUGACGGCCCUAUGGGUUGUAAACUUCUUUUGUCAGGGAGCAAUUGAGUCCACGUGUGGUCUUAGCGAGAGUACCUGAAGAAAAAGCAUCGGCUAACUCCGUGCCAGCAGCCGCGGUAAUACGGGGGAUGCGAGGGUUAGCCGGAUUUAUUGGGUUAAAAGGGUGCGUGGGCGGAAUAUCAAGUCAGCGGUAAAAAUUCGGGGCGCAACCCAGUCGUGCCGUUGAAACUGGUCGUCUUGAGUGCAGGAGAGGUAGGCGGAAUGCGUGGUGUAGCGGUGAAAUGCAUAGAUAUCACGAAGAACCCCGAUUGCGAAGGCAGCAUACUGGCGUCCAACUGACGCUGAAGCACGAAAGCGUGGGUAUCGAACAGGAUUAGAUACCCGAGUAGUC